rnacentral:rRNA from 1 species
GAUGAACGCUGGCGGCGUGCCUAACACGUGCAAGUCGAGCGAGGGUUUGCUCAGUAUUGAGUAUUCUAAGACUAGAAUGUUCAAUUCUGAGCAAAACCAAGCGGCGGACGGGUGAGUAACGCGUGGGUAACCUGCCCUAUACACAUGGAUAACAUACUGAAAAGUUUACUAAUACAUGAUAAUAUAUAUUUGCGGCAUCGUAGAUAUAUCAAAGUGUUAGCGGUAUAGGAUGGACCCGCGUCUGAUUAGCUAGUUGGUGAGAUAACUGCCCACCAAGGCGACGAUCAGUAGCCGACCUGAGAGGGUGAUCGGCCACAUUGGAACUGAGACACGGUCCAAACUCCUACGGGAGGCAGCAGUGGGGAAUAUUGCACAAUGGGCGAAAGCCUGAUGCAGCAACGCCGCGUGAACGAUGAAGGUCUUCGGAUCGUAAAGUUCUGUUGCAGGGGAAGAUAAUGACGGUACCCUGUGAGGAAGCCCCGGCUAACUACGUGCCAGCAGCCGCGGUAAUACGUAGGGGGCUAGCGUUAUCCGGAUUUACUAGGCGUAAAGGGUGCGUAGGUGGUCCUUCAAGUCGGUGGUUAAAGGCUACGGCUCAACCGUAGUAAGCCGCCGAAACUGGAGGACUUGAGUGCAGGAGAGGAAAGUGGAAUUCCCAGUGUAGCGGUGAAAUGCGUAGAUAUUGGGAGGAACACCAGUAGCGAAGGCGGCUUUCUGGACUGCAACUGACACUGAGGCACGAAAGCGUGGGUAGCAAACAGG